rfam:Felis catus isolate Cinnamon breed Abyssinian chromosome D2, whole genome shotgun sequence.
GCCCGGGUGGCUCAGUUGGUUAAGCGUCUGACUUUGGCUCAGGUCAUGAUCUCACGGUUCUUGGGUUCGAGCCCCACGUUGGGCU